AACCCUCUCCACCCCGGAAUGGCCUGGCCUGCACGAGGAUUCUCUCUAUUGUCAGGAGCAGGAAAAGAUCUGAAUUUCCCAUGAAAUGCCAGUGUCAGCAUAACAUGGUGGUACUACACAGUGCCACUCUAUCAGGCAUAUCCUGGGCCUCUCACAAAAAUAUUAUUUUAAAAAGAUAUUCAGAAUGCUUCUGGUGCCAAGUAGGUGCAGCGUGGAUACUCUGUGAUGAUGAUGAACAGCCUUCUAAGUGCGUGUACUGAGUUUAAGAAACAUAACACCACAGCACGUAAAAUCCCGUGCCAGAUCUCACACAGCCGCCAAAUCACAUCUGCCUCUAUCUCUCUGGAUGAUCCUUCUCCAAAAUCAAGGCCUGGCACCUUGCCCUGAACAUCAGCCAACUGGACAUUAGCAGACCAGGACGGAGAGGGAAAUCCAGUUAUGUUCCCCUAUAAAUCUCAACCAAAGCCAAACCUUGAUUGUCAGUGUUUGUGGGCAGUGGAGGAAGGGUGCCCUAGGGAGUGAGUAGGUGGAAUUUGCACAUAGACUCAAAUCUUAUAUUUUGCAUUAUUGAACAAAAAAUACAUUGUUUCUACCUUCUCUGCUUUUGAACACAUUGAUGAAAAGGGCUAAUACAUAACAACAAUUUUCUAUCUUACUGAAAGUUGACUUUCUGGGUGAGGGGCUCAUGAAUGAGAAGUGAAAUGGUCAAAAGAGGGGUAUCCAAGUAGAGCUGAAAAAGCAGGGGGGCCGAGGAGUUAUCUGAUGAGGAAAAUGAAUCCCUGGAUAAUUGAGAGUUAACUAUAGAACUGGUUUCUUUUAUAAUUACUACAGAGUCAGCUUCUAUCAGG
rnacentral:lncRNA from 1 species